AUGUGCAGAAGCUUCAGUUACAUGUGGGCUUUUUUUGGUAGUAUUUUCUAUUUUUUUCCUUCCACCUGAAAAUAAGUUUUGAUUCUGCAGAGGAUUGUGAAAACUGAAUGAAUCUGAAUUAAUUAGGCACUCUACUGGUGCUAUGAAGGGAGCAUUUCAGUUUACCCCAUAUAUGUUUUCUGCUUAGUCCCCCCCCCAAAAAAAAAAGUUAAAAAUUAAACAUUUUAUAGCGUGUCAUUCAGAUGCAGCAGUCUGAAAGGAAACCAUUUUUGAUGGAUCUAGUUCAGCACUGAAUCACAGCUCCAAACUGGGUCAGCCGGGAAAGCCAGAGACCAUUAGGAGACCUGAGAAGCGUCUGUUCUCUGCGAGGGGAUGAACAUUUUGGGUCUGAUCCUUGACAAGCAGAAGAUGGAGAGAUGGAGUAGGCCACCAAUUUACAGAGCCACAGAAUUAUCUAGGUGGGAAAAGACCUUUGAGAUCAUCCAGUCCAACCACCAACCUGAUCUACCGAGUCCCAUCACUAUACCGUGUGAUAAGCAGCUCUGAUAAGCCUCAACAGAGGCUGAAGCAGCGCAGAGUCGGGAGCAAACCAAAUAAAACUGAAUUUCUCUGUGCCCAAGGGUGUGGUGUGGACCUUCCCCAUGCCUACAGGGGUCUCGGGGCUGGUGGCUGCAAAGCCCAGCACGGAGUUACUGCAGCCCCUGUCACUUGUGGAAAUACUGCAGGUCAAAAAGAUGGGAGAUGCUCUUGUUUCCUUCCCAAAUGGUGCCGUUCACUUAUCUCCUUCUUCAGCUUUUUUCCUUGUCCUAUUUUACCCUGGGCUCGCAGGGUACAUCAGGAUACCUGCCAAAUAUGUGCUGACUCAGGACUAUGAUUUGUGUGCUGGCUUCUCCACGCUCAUUUGCUGACUGUAAAUUUUUGUGUGUGCUCUGGGACAGGCUUUUUUAAUUUUCUGCGAAUUGCUGCAUCCUUUUUCAGAUGUUUUUGCUACCAUAGCAUUAUGAUUAUGAAAUGAAGUUCAAAGAACACUGGUAGGGAGAAGAUAGGCUAGAGCAUUGCUUUUGCUUAUGGAAUGACUGUUUUUUUGUAAAAUAAAA